rnacentral:rRNA from 1 species
AGCGGCGGACGGGUGAGUAACGCGUGGGUAACCUGCCUCAUACAGGGGGAUAACAGUUAGAAAUGACUGCUAAUACCGCAUAAGACCACGGUACCGCAUGGUACAGUGGUAAAAACUCCGGUGGUAUGAGAUGGACCCGCGUCUGAUUAGGUAGUUGGCGGGGUAACGGCCUACCAAGCCGACGAUCAGUAGCCGACCUGAGAGGGUGACCGGCCACAUUGGGACUGAGACACGGCCCAG